rnacentral:rRNA from 1 species
AGUGAACGCUGGCGGUAGGCCUAACACAUGCAAGUCGAACGGCAGCACAGUAAGAGCUUGCUCUUACGUGUGGCGAGUUGCGGACGGGUGAGGAAUACAUCGGAAUCUACUUUUUCUUGGGCGAUAACGUAGGGAAACUUACUCUACUACCGCAUACGACCUACGGUUGAAAGCAUUGGAUCUUCGCACCUUUCGCGAUUGAAUUAUCCGAUGUCGGAUUAGCUAGUUGGCGGGGUAAAGGCCCACCAAGGCGACGAUCCGUAGCUGGUCUGAGAGGAGGAUCAACAACACUGGAAAUGAGACAAGGUAAAGAAUACUAAGGGAGGAAGCAGUGGGGAAAAUAGGACAAUGGGCGAAAGAAUGAUCCAGCAAUACCGCGUGGGUGAAGAAGGCCUUAGGGUUGUAAAGCCCUUUUGUUGGGAAAGAAAAGCAGAAGGUUAAUACCCCGCUGGUAUGAAGGUAACAAAAGAAUAAGAACCGGCUAACUUAGUG